GACGAACGCUGGCGGCGUGCUUAAUACAUGCAAGUCGAACGGAGCCUAGCCGGUAGUUUACUACAGGCGAAAGCUUAGUGGCGGACGGGUGAGUAACGCGUGGGCAAUCUGCCCCUAAGUCCGGGAUAACAGAGCGAAAGUUCUGCUAAGACCGGAUACUCUUCCUUGGUCGCAUGGCGGAGGAAGGAAAGGAUACGCUUAGGGAUGAGCCCGCGUCCCAUUAGCUAGUUGGUGAGGUAACGGCCCACCAAGGCGACGAUGGGUAGCCGGCCUGAGAGGGUGGACGGCCACACUGGGACUGAGACACGGCCCAGACUCCUACGGGAGGCAGCAGUAGGGAAUUUUCCGCAAUGGGGGAAACCCUGACGGAGCAACGCCGCGUGAGGGAAGAAGGUCUUCGGAUCGUAAACCUUUGUCAUCGAGGACGAAAACUGACGGUACUCGAGGAGGAAGCCCGGCUAACUACGUGCCAGCAGCCGCGGUAAGGAGUAGUACA
rnacentral:rRNA from 1 species